UCAGGAGAGAUGCGCCACCGAUGUAAAGGACAUCAAGAUCCUGGUAGCUGGAGAAAUUGGAGCCGGAAAAUCCAGCUUUAUUAAUUCAGUCAAUGCCGCCUUUCAGGGACGGAUCUCCUCUAGAGCACUAGUUAAUGCAGCUGAUGGUUACAGUCAUAGUUUCACUCAAAAGGGAUUUCUCAAGUGGUUGUCAUGACUAAAAUGGAUGAAGCAUGUCCAUUGGUCCAAAAAGAUCUGCAGCAAGAAAAUCAAGGAGAAGAUGGAGUUGUGCAGUGCAAAAUUAGGUUUGCCACUGACAAACAUAUUCCCUGUGAAGAACUACCACAAUGAGAUUGACACAGAUGACAACAUUGACGUUCUGUUACUAAAGGCUCUUGAACAGAUUGUUCAGCUUGCUGAUGAUCGAUUGGAGGAUACUGAUAGCUACUGACACAAAGUAAUUUCUGCAUUUCCCAGUGUAGCUUUCUAAUAAACCUGUCUUUGCUCACCAUGAAUAUUG